rnacentral:tRNA from 1 species
UCCCUGGUGGUCCAGUGGUUAGGACUUAGUGCUUUCACCACCACGAUCUGGGUUCAAUCCCUGGUUGUGGAA